rnacentral:rRNA from 1 species
UACAGAGGAGCCAAGCGUUGUCCGGAUUGACUGGGCGUAAAGAGCGUGUAGGCGGCCAGGUAGGUCUGGUGUGAAAACUCGAGGCUUAACCUCGAGAUGUCAUCGGAAACCAUCUGGCUAGAGUCCGGAAGAGGAGAGUGGAAGUUCCUGGUGUAGCGGUGAAAUGACGUAGAUAUCGAGAGGAACACCUGCGGCGAAGGCGGGUUGCUGGGCUGACACUGCGCUGAUUGUGCGAAAGCUAGGGGGAGCGAACGGG